AUUGAACGCUGGCGGCAGGCCUAACACAUGCAAGUCGAGCGGAGCGGCGGACGGGUGAGUAAUGCCUAGGAAUCUGCCUGGUAGUGGGGGAUAACGUCCGGAAACGGGAGCUAAUACCGCAUACUAUCAGAUGAGCCUAGGUCGGAUUAGCUAGUUGGUGGGGAAAAGGCCUACCAAGGCGACGAGCCGUAACUGGUCUGAGAGGAUGAUCAGUCAACCGGGAACUGAGACACGUUCCAGCCUCCUCGGGGAGGCAGCAGUGGGAAAUAUUGGACAAUGGGCGAAAGCCUGAUCCAGCCAUGCGGCGUGGGUGAAGAAGGUCUUGGGAUUGUAAAGCACUUUAAGUUGGGAGGCGUUACCAACAGAAUAAGCACCGGCUAACUGCGUGCCAGCCGCCGCGGUAAUC
rnacentral:rRNA from 1 species